AGUGAACGCUGGCGGUAGGCCUAACACAUGCAAGUCGAACGGCAGCACAGUAAGAGCUUGCUCUUACGGGUGGCGAGUGGCGGACGGGUGAGGAAUACAUCGGAGUCUACUUUUUCGUGGGGGAUAACGUAGGGAAACUUACGCUAAUACCGCAUACGACCUACGGGUGAAAGCAGGGGAUCUUCGGACCUUGCGCGAUUGAAUGAGCCGAUGUCGGACUAGCUAGUUGGCGGGGUAAAGGCCCACCAAGGCGACGAUCCGUAGCUGGUCUGAGAGGAUGAUCAGCCACACUGGAACUGAGACACGGUCCAGACUCCUACGGGAGGCAGCAGUGGGGAAUAUUGGACAAUGGGCGCAAGCCUGAUCCAGCCAUACCGCGUGGGUGAAGAAGGCCUUCGGGUUGUAAAGCCCUUUUGUUGGGAAAGAAAAGCAGCAGGUUAAUACCCCGCUGUUCUGACGGUACCCAAAGAAUAAGCACCGGCUAACUUCGUG
rnacentral:rRNA from 1 species